AGUGGGGAAUUGUUCGCAAUGGGCGCAAGCCUGACGACGCAACGCCGCGUGGAGGAUGAAGAAUUUCGGUUCGUAAACUCCUUUCGACCGAGAUGAACAUCCCGCGAUCCAAUACAUCGCGGGACUGACAGUAUCGAGAGAAGAAGCCCCGGCUAACUCUGUGCCAGCAGCCGCGGUAAUACAGAGGGGGCAAGCGUUGUUCGGAAUUACUGGGCGUAAAGGGUUCGUAGGUGGCCGACUAAGUCAUACGUGAAAUCCCUCAGCUUAACUGGGGAACUGCGUCUGAUACUGGUUGGCUUGAGUGCAGGAGAGGAAUGCGGAAUUCCAGGUGUAGCGGUGAAAUGCGUAGAUAUCUGGAGGAACACCGGUGGCGAAGGCGGCAUUCUGGACUGCAACUGACACUGAGGAACGAAAGCCAGGGGAGCAAA
rnacentral:rRNA from 1 species